UACGUAGGGUGCAAGCGUUAAUCGGAAUUACUGGGCGUAAAGCGUGCGCAGGCGGCUUUGCAAGACAGAUGUGAAAUCCCCGGGCUUAACCUGGGAACUGCAUUUGUGACUGCAUGGCUGGAGUGCGGCAGAGGGGGAUGGAAUUCCGCGUGUAGCAGUGAAAUGCGUAGAUAUGCGGAGGAACACCGAUGGCGAAGGCAGUCCCCUGGGCCUGCACUGACGCUGAGACGCGAAAGCGUGGGGAGCGAACAGG
rnacentral:rRNA from 1 species